ACCGGGGAACGGGGUGGAGUGCAGGGGCUUGAAGGGGGUUCAGCGGGAACCGGAGGAGGAGACCCGAGGGGCGGGAUGGGGGCGGGCGCUGGGCAGGAUGGGGACUCAGGGCGGGAUGGUGGGCAGGCGCGAGCCUCCGGCUAAGGGAUGGGGGAACCAGGGGGCGGAACCGGGCGGACUGGCAGCACGUCCCCGCAGCCUCCAGGCCUCUUAGACCCCGAGUAAAGGCUGGAGAAGACCAUCCAGCCUACAGUUCAGACCUGAGAACCUGCCCUGUUCCUUCCUGCCUUCCCUUCUCCACCCAACCCCAACUGCAGGGAGCCGGGCCUAGGAAAAUGGCAACUACUAGGAGCCGCGGUGUCAGAACUGGCCGGCCUUGGCUAUUAUAGCCCAGCAGUUGGAGGGAUGUGCCGCGCCCUGUAGGGUUGCCAUCUGGGGUGACUUGGAGUUAACAGCUCAGGCAUCUGCACCACUCCCCAAACUGCAGCCGGCAGCUGUGGGGGCUGCCGCCUCCCUAGUGCUGUGUCCAGAAUCCUGGGAGCAUGAGUCAACUCCCAGGACUCUCGGAAAAUGAACAGCCAUCUGAUCACGCAGCUUCUCCUGCCUCUCACUCUGAAGGAAAGCACCACCGAACAAAGACAGUGCUAUCAGCCACUCCUCCCCGGAGAGCCAGGGCUGCCCUGCUUUUGAAUUGCAUCUCCCUUGGUCCGGCUCACCAUGCACGGAGAUGGCAGAAUUGUGGCAUGCAAACUAGGCCUGCACUGCUUUCCCUAGUUGGGGGGGGAAGGGGGGCACCAAAAAUUUGCCUGAACUGUGUGUCUUGAAAUUUGCGUCGGAAAUGUGGUGAGAUAAAAGGAAAUUUAAGAUG